GGAGGAAAAGAAACCAACAGGGAUUGCCUCAGUAACGGCGAGUGAAGCGGCAACAGCUCAAAUUUGAAAUCUGGCCCUAGGCCCGAGUUGUAAUUUGCAGAGGAUGUUUCUGGCGAGGUGCCUUCCGAGUUCCCUGGAACGGGACGCCAUAGAGGGUGAGAGCCCCGUACGGUUGGUCGCUAAGCCUCUGUGAAACUCCUUCGACGAGUCGAGUAGUUUGGGAAUGCUGCUCUAAAUGGGAGGUAUACGUCUUCUAAAGCUAAAUACCGGCUAGAGACCGAUAGCGCACAAGUAGAGUGAUCGAAAGAUGAAAAGCACUUUGAAAAGAGGGUUAAAUAGUACGUGAAAUUGUUGAAAGGGAAGCGCUUAUGACCAGACUUGGGCCGGUUGAUCAUCCAUCGUUCUCGGUGGUGCACUCUGCCGGCUCAGGCCAGCAUCAGUUUGGCCCGGGGGAUAAAGGUUUCGGGAAUGUGGCUUCCUUCGGGGAGUGUUAUAGCCCGUUGCGUAAUACCCUGGGCUGGACUGAGGUACGCGUUCUGCAAGGAUGCUGGCGUAAUGGUCAUCAGUGACCCGUCUUGAAACACGGACCAAGGAGUCGUCUUCGUAUGCGAGUGUUCGGGUGUCAAACCCCUACGCGUAAUGAAAGUGAACGUAGGAGAGAGCUUCGGCGCAUCUCCGACCGAUCCUGAUGUUCUCGGAUGGAUUUGAGUAAGAGCAUACGGGGCCGGACCCGAAAGAAGGUGAACUAUGCCUGUAUAGGGUGAAGCCAGAGGAAACUCUGGUGGAGGCUCGCAGCGGUUCUGACGUGCAAAUCGAUCGUCAAAUAUGGGCAUGGGGGCGAAAGACUAAUCGAACCUUCUAGUAGCUGGUUUCCGCCGAAGUUUCCCUCAGGAUAGCAGUGUUGAACUCAGUUUUAUGAGGUAAAGCGAAUGAUUAGGGACCCGGGGGCGCUAUAUAGCCUUCAUCCAUUCUCAAACUUUAAAUAUGUAAGAAGCUCUUGUUGCUUAGUUGAACGUGGGCAUUCGAAUGUAUCAACACUAGUGGGCCAUUUUUGGUAAGCAGAACUGGCGAUGCGGGAUGAACCGAACGCGAGGUUAAGGUGCCAGAGUAGACGCUCAUCAGACACCACAAAAGGUGUUAGUACAUCUUGACAGCAGGACGGUGGCCAUGGAAGUCGGAAUCCGCUAAGGACUGUGUAACAA
rnacentral:rRNA from 2 species